rnacentral:rRNA from 1 species
UCCGGUUGAUCCCGCCGGACCUGACUGCUAUCGGAUUGAUACUAAGCCAUGCGAGUCAUUGUAGUAAUACAAGGCAGACGGCUCAGUAACGCGUAGUCAACCUACCCUAUGGACGGGAAUAACCUCGGGAAACUGAGUAUAAUGCCCGAUAGAACACUAUUCCUGGAAUGGUUUGUGUUCCAAAUGAUUUAUCGCCGUAGGAUGGGACUGCGGCCUAUCAGUUUGUUGGUGAGGUAAUGGCCCACCAAGACUAUUACAGGUACGGGCUCUGAGAGGAGUAGCCCGGAGAUGGGUACUGAGACACGGACCCAGGCCCUAUGGGGCGCAGCAGGCGAGAAAACUUUGCAAUGUGCGAAAGCACGACAAGGUUAAUCCGAGUGGUUUCUGCUAAAGGAACCUUUUGACAGUCCUAGAAACACUGUUGAAUAAGGGGUGGGCAAGUUCUGGUGUCAGCCGCCGCGGUAAAACCAGCACCUCAAGUGGUCAGGAUGAUUAUUGGGCCUAAAGCAUCCGUAGCCGGCUCUGUAAGUUUUCGGUUAAAUCUGUACGCUCAACGUACAGGCUGCCGGGAAUACUGCAGAGCUAGGGAGUGGGAGAGGUAGACGGUACUCGGUAGGAAGGGGUAAAAUCCUUUGAUCUAUUGAUGACCACCUGUGGCGAAGGCGGUCUACCAGAACACGUCCGACGGUGAGGGAUGAAAGCUGGGGGAGCAAACCGGAUUAGAUACCCGGGUAGUCCCAGCUGUAAACUAUGCAAACUCAGUGAUGCAUUGGCUUGUGGCCAAUGCAGUGCUGCAGGGAAGCCGUUAAGUUUGCCGCCUGGGAAGUACGUACGCA